AUCUUGGGCAAGUUAGAGCAAGUAGAUAGCUUCCGUUAUCUAAGUGAGCAAGUUAGUAUUGGAGGUGGAUGCUCCGAGAGCGUAUCUGGGAGAAUAAGAUUAGGCCAGGCAAAGUUUAGAGAGCUUCUAACCAUGCUGCAACAAAGGGCCUCUCUCUCAAAAUGAA